GGGGCAGGAGACUAAAGUAGAAAGGCUUUAAAGGGGAACUAUGCAACUUUUUUGGCUCAAUUUACAUUAACAUAACAGGUUAAGAGUUCUAUAACACUUAUUGGUCGAUUGGUCGCUGUUUUGACUCUUUGCGCAUAAUGGCGGAAAAAAGGGAAUAUGCAAGUUUCUGUCGGCGACCCACCACCCAUUCUCGCCGGAGUCUCGGGUCUCGCGCAGCACCGAAUUGCUUUAUGGCACUACAGACCCACAACCACCCACAAGUAGCGAAGGGAUUGUUACAUUCUUCAUGGAUCAGCCGACUAAAGAGAGAAAAGGACCGACAGACUGACCGACAGAGAGGCCAGACACGAGUAAACGUUGGGUGAGCUUUUCUGAAAGAAAAAGAAGACUGCAAAUCGGAUGCCGACUUGCCAUGGCCUUGUGUUGCUCUUCAAAUUUUACAAGUGUUGGCAAACAACAUGAGGCUUGAUGACCCAAGACGGCUCGGACUACCUGCCCCGGUACAAACACCACCCACAUCUGAACUUGUGCGGGUACCCGUGUCACGAGGAAAUCCAGAGAACCCUCAAGAAGAUGUUACACCAAAAAAAGAACUGUCACUUGCAUUUCUUUCAAUAUCCAAAAUAAAAAAAAUUCUAACCAAA